GUGCUUGCUUUGGCAGCACGUAUACUAAAAUUGGAACAAUACAGAGAUUAGCAUGGCCCCUAUGCAAGGAUGACACAAAUUUGGGAAGUAUUUUGUAUUUUA
rnacentral:snRNA from 1 species